GCAUCUUGCCGAUUAGAAUCAGGACGCCUGGAGCAAUCGGUUCCCUGGAAACCUCCGCAGAUAAUGUUACCUUAUCUUCGAGCACCAUCCAGAGUUCGAAAGAAUUGCAACGCGACAGAACGAUGACAUCGUCACGCCCCAAACCAAUCGUUACGUCUCCCACUUUUUCUUUUGCUUUCACUUCUCAUAAUGUUUUCUUUUUGUAUUUUGGGUUGUUGCAGACUGGGUGCUCCGAGGUACCAGAUGAUUAUAUUAGACCAGAUCUCAAUCGGUUUCCUCUGUUGACUGAUUUCUUAGAAAGUAAUUUACGAUCACCAGAGGAAAAGUGAAGUACUUUCAGUCUCAGUCUCGGGUUUAGUGGACUCGAUAUUAAGGAAAACAUCAUUGCGUUAGUUUAUUCUAAAGCAAAUGUUUACGGGACCUUACUCCAAACCUCAGGUCUACAUAGAAUUUCAACGUGUUGGACACACUCUUCUGUUGAACCAUGACUUUCAGGUGACACAUGUUUUUUGACUUUUUCCCUUGCUGGAAGAGAAUGACUGCUGCAAUCUGUGAGGAUGUUCGUCGCGGAUAUAGAAAGAAACGUUGGGGAUGUUGGGGUGCUACAAAUCCGGAUUUGAUUGACCAAGUAAAGUGCUGAUAAAAAAAGUUUAAUUUAGUAAAACAAUCAUUUUUUAAAAAUAUAUAGAUGGUCUUCAUAUUUAUAAUUCAGUACUGCUUAAUAUCUUCUGUAAUUCAAAUUUAUUUAAACAUCCCCUAGCUGGUCACUAAGCUUACGGUUGCCAUCCUCACUUGAUUGCUCCUGAGCAAGGUUACCAUCGUCUCAUCGAGUCUUCUAUUGUAUUCAUGGGAGGCCCUUCUGAGGUAUAUGUUACAUUGUGCCGUCUCUAACUUGCAUAUUUGAUAUUAAAUGAAUCAGCAACCUAACAAAAACAUGGAAUAACCAUCUUUCCUUUUUUUUUUGGUGUGGUCUAAUAUUUCAGUCUCAUGUGAUCCUCUUGAAGGAUAUGGACAAGUCUGAUUGAUAUGUCGAUAUGUUCUCCCCUUCUGUUAGUAAUAGAUAUACUAUCUCCAAUGUCAAAUUUACUUUGGUCCAUUGUUAUAGAAACAUUGAACAUGUGCAUGAUUAAAUUAAUUCAUAUCUAUGAGAGUGUAGGUUACAAACGCGGCAUUGGAAAAAUGUGGGAGGAAAGUGAGAAAGCAACACUGCUGGUGGACCGAAGAGUGUAACGCGGCCAUUGGACAAAUGUGGGAGGAAAGUAAGAAAUCAACACUGCUGGGCUGGUGGACCGAAGAGACCUUUAGGUUGCGUAAUUUUUGUAAGAUGAUCUACUCUGGAAAACAUCAUGCCGUGUUGUUUUAAUAAAACAUCACAAAGUUUGUUCCGCUGCCUUUUUGUUUGUGUUCGUUUGCGGCCAUCAGCUCAUAUGCAUGCGUUCUUGACAUCAGUUAUAUUUGUUUAGUUAUGUAGAGAAGAGAUCUUUACUCUUUUGGUGUUAUUAAAUCCUUUUAUUA